rnacentral:rRNA from 1 species
GAUGAACGCUGGCGGCGUGCUUAACACAUGCAAGUCGAACGGGAAACCUUUUAUUGAAGCUUCGGCAGAUUUAGCUGGUUUCUAGUGGCGGACGGGUGAGUAACGCGUGGGUAACCUGCCUUAUACAGGGGGAUAACAGUCAGAAAUGACUGCUAAUACCGCAUAAGCGCACAGAGCUGCAUGGCUCGGUGCGAAAAACUCCGGUGGUAUAAGAUGGACCCGCGUUGGAUUAGCUAGUUGGUGAGGUAACGGCCCACCAAGGCGACGAUCCAUAGCCGGCCUGAGAGGGUGAACGGCCACAUUGGGACUGAGACACGGCCCAGACUCCUACGGGAGGCAGCAGUGGGGAAUAUUGCACAAUGGGGGAAACCCUGAUGCAGCGACGCCGCGUGAAGGAAGAAGUAUCUCGGUAUGUAAACUUCUAUCAGCAGGGAAGAAAAUGACGGUACCUGACUAAGAAGCCCCGGCUAACUA